rnacentral:lncRNA from 1 species
GACACACAACCAGAAGCAAAGAGAGCAGCUGACCUGUAGCUGAUGACAGAGUUUCACUCUUGUUGCCCAAGCUGGACAGCAGUGGCGCAAGCUUGGCUCACUGCAAACUCUGCCUUCCGGUUUCAAGCGAUUCUCCUGCCUCAGCCUCCGGAGUACCUGGGACUACAGGCACGCAUUGCGCCCAGAGAAAAACAGAUCUUCAACAGUUUUUUGAUGGAAAUAAACAAUUUCAGGUUGAGACAACACAUCAACUUCAUGCAUUCCUUCAGCUUGAAGUCAACUGGGCCUGGGUUGAAUCUGGUUCUGUUUUGUUGUUGUUUCAUUUUGUUUUUUAGCAUUUGACUAUGUACAGUCUCCAUUUCUAAGUCUUGAUUUCCUCAUUUAUAAAACGAAGCAACUAAAUGAUAUCCAAUACACUUGUUUUGAAAAUCAAAGAAUAAGCACGGCACCCAAGACAAUUUUUUGUAUCACAGGCACACAUGAAUGUUUUUUUCCUUUUCCUUUUCUUAUAAAAACCUAUAUUUUGUGACUUUUAUAUUUAUUCCUAGAUGCUCUCAUAUGUAUUAUCUCAUUUUUACAAUAACAUUAUAAAUAUAAACACUGUUAUGCUAUUUUACAGAUGAGAGACUUGAAGCACAGAAGGCUAAAACUACCUUUAACUUCUAAAGAAACUUUGUGAGAAGCAUCUGAGACUAUUGACAGUUAAAAUCCCUAUCAUUUCAGAAAAUGCAACUGGGGAUCACAUGUAUUUUAAAUAAUUCUAGUUGAGAAUAGUAAAAAGUCGCAUUUAUGAAGGAAGAUUGACAUUUUUAACCUUCCCAAUGAUUUCAUCAAGCUCUUUUAGUACUCCUAGCCUCAGUUUCUUCACUUGCAAAAUAAGAAUAACCAAAAACAGGAGCUUCGUGGAUUAAUUUU